rnacentral:lncRNA from 1 species
UAGAACACAAGAAUACUGCCUGCUGCCCUACUGGGAAGCACUCUCCUUUUCUUUCUCCUUCUCUUCUUCAGUCUUGGGGUGGUACCCAGGUAACUUCUCCUUGAUCUUCUCGAGUAGUCCCUUCUUCUCCUUGGCAUCUCCUUCAUGGGAAACUGCAGCUUCAGGGGAAACAUGUUCAGGAGCUGGAGGAGGGACCUCGUCAGCUUUCUUAUGUCCUGGCAAUUUCUCCUUGAUUUUGUCAAGGAAACCCUUCUUAUCCUCUGGUUCAUGGGGUGUCUCUGUAUGGACUACCUCGACAGGAACACUAGUAUCCUCGUGUUCCUUCUCCUCUCCUUUCUCUCCUGAUAUCUUCAUCUUCUCUUUCAAUGACCUCUUUUCCUUCUUCUUCUUCUUUUUCUCUUCAUCGUCACCUUCCUCCUCGUCGCUAGACUGCAUUUUUUAACACAUCAAAAAAUCUGUCAAUCUCAAGAAACACUUAACGGAAAAGACAACAAACAAAAUAAAUAAUGAGAUCGAUCCAUGGAUCGAGUUAGAAACUUACAGAGCUGGAAGAACUGCUGCCUGAUCGAUGGAGUUUCUCAAAGAGAGUAGGUUUCUUCUCCUCUUCCUCUUUUUUCUUGUGCUCUUCCUCUACUUUAGUCUCGGGUUCAGAAACCUGAAGUUUCUCUUCAAAUUCAGUACCAAUCACCUCCUCUUGAGGCUUCUCUUCUUCUUUCUUCCCCAGGAAAUCAAACAACCCGCGAUCCUUGGUCUCAACAGCACCACUCUCUUCACCAACUUUGGUCUCAUACUCAUGGCUCUUGUUUUCCUCAGCCAUACUGAUCAAAAUCACAAUAUGAACCUAAUCAAGAAAAGAUCAAAAUCACAACAGAGUAAUUAAAAUGAGUAAGCUUCUGCUUCGAGUGAUUUGCGCUUGUAACUGAUGGUUUGGGUUUGGGUUUGGGUUAGCAAGGGUGAUGGGCUUUUAUAGCUGGAAGCCAACGCGGAGCUGACGCGAUUAAGAAGUAAUAAAGCCAAGUGAGCUGGGCCAGUCAGGUUUCACUUCUGUAACCGACGUGUAAAUUUAAGUAAGGGAGGAAAUCAAAACGUAUUACUUCCGACAUGUAUAGAAUUAUAUGUACUCGCUUGAAUGAUUGGCUAGAUGUCUAGUAAUUAGAGAUGGAACUCAUGGGAGUGGUGGAGGCAUAAGCGUGUUCAAUACGCGGAGGAAUGUGUAAAGUAGCAGUCUGAAAGGAGGGAAGGAAGUAGAAAAGUUGAGAGGGGUACGCUGUAAUGUUCUGCAAAUGCCUUGGCGACACGUGGAACGAGAACGUGAAUGGCUGUCCUUGAGUGAGACCCGUGGUGUCGGCCUCGAUUGGAUAAAUAUGAAAGUGGGGGCGGUGUAUCUCGGGGCCACAGCAGAUUUUUUUUGUGUGUGUUGAGUGUGGGGUGGGAUUUUUUUUUUCUCAACGUAAAUAAAAUAUAGGUGCUGUAAACGUUUUUAUUAUUAUUAUUGAGAAAAAUUAUAAUGCAAGUUAAAAAGUUUAUAUUUGGGUUUAAUAAAAUAAACCAAUAAUUAUAUAUUAACAAAUGAUAAUAAAUCUAUUUGUUUUAAUUAAAUAUCCAGUUGAAAAGCUGAGGAAAAGAUGUUAUUUCUUGAAAACAAAUAUUGAAUAUUUGUUUCAUUUUAAAAUUAAAAUUUUUAAUUUUUAAUGGUUUUGAAUCAAUAAAAGUUCAAUUUUAUUUUGUUAGUAUUAACUCAAUGUUAAAAUUUAUAAUUGAUAUUGCAAUAACCCAAUUUAAAGUCAACUAGAAUAAACUAUGAAACCUACUUCUAGAUCAGGCUAAUAUGAGGGGAUCAAAUUAAAAAAAAAAAAAAUGAAACUAUCAAACUAAGAUGCGCCCUUAUAUGAUUUUUAUUCAUUUGAUUGUUAAAAAUAACAAUCAAAUGAAUAAAAAUCAAAUUUAACAUAUAUAUAUAAAAAAAACAACAUAGAGUUAAGCGCAAAACUCAACAAGAGACGGAAAAAAAAAGAAAAGAAAAAAAAAACCGGAGAGCCCUUGUCUCAAUGGGCCAUUAGAUAAGAAACUCCUCACCGUGAUGAUUUUGUUGGCACCAUGUAAGGGCGCAUCUCGAGCUUGGUAGUCGUUGCAAUUGUCGUCACAAUAUUGUGUCAUUUCUAAGUUAUUGGUGCAUGUGCUACAUAUGAUUAUUAUUUUUUUCAAGUUCGUUCAAUCUAGUCACUGGUUUCAAAAAAAAAAUGAUUGAACAUUUAUUUUAGAUUCAAAUUUGCCUUAUAAAGAUUCAUUUAUUUUAAAUGUGUCUAGUUGAUUAUCAACCGAGCAUUAAAAGUUUUUUUCAACAUGUCAAGAGCUCCAUGUAAAGUAAAGUAAAACAAAUUAUAAAACUGAAAAGCAAAUCAAUUUAUUGUGAAAAUGAUCAAAUUAAAAAAAUACGAGAGGGUGAGAUUAAAAAAAAGGCAAGAGUGAAAGAAAUAAACAGGAGAGGUGUUCGUUGUUCAAAUAAGCAGCAAAGCAACCUCAGAUAUUUUAUUGUUUUCUCUAGUAAUAUACAUGGAAUGGCUACUAAAUUUAAUUUUAGAAACGGAUUAUUUAUAUUAAGAUUAGAAGAUUUAUGGGAAAAUAUAUUCUUAUCACACAAAAUUAUCUAUUCGUUUAAUUCAUUUUGGUCUAGAACUAUUAACUUACUAAUUAGAUUAAUUAUUGGAUUACUGAGUUAUCAAGAGAUAUUGAAACAUAUAUUUUAUAAACAAAUUAGUAGAAGAAGUAAAGAAUGGCGGGCUUGGAUUUUAUAAAAUUAAUUAAAUUAACAUAUCAAUUUGUAUAGAUAUCUAGUAUUCAUGAUUUGAAAGAUCUACACGGGAGGAACUGGGAAUUCAAGGUUAUAGAAGCAGGGGGGUAUAUUAAGAUACAAAAAUCAUUUACACAUAAAAAUAUAUAUAUACAAUAAUUAUAGAUUUUAACUAAAAUAUACUAUUUUUUUUACUAAAAAGGACUUUUUAUAAAAAAUAAAAUUUAUAUAAAAUAACUAUUAAAUUUUGGUCAUCAUUUUAAACUUUCAGAGGGGUCAUGUGCACUGGGCCUCUUAUUCGGUAGCAUUUCUACCUCAGUGACCAGCAGAAUCACUUACAAACUAGUUAAUUGGCAGGGUUAGGGUAU